GUGUUUGCUUUGGCAACACAUAUACUAAAAUUAGAACGAUACAGAGAAGAUUAGCAUGGCCUCUGCGCAAGGAUGACACGUAAAAAGCAGAGAUUUUUUGUAAAGAUUUUU